rnacentral:rRNA from 1 species
UACGUAGGGGGCAAGCGUUGUCCGGAAUCAUUGGGCGUAAAGCGCGUGUAGGCGGCUGGGUAAGUCCGCUCUGAAAGCCCGGGGCUCAACCCCGGGAGGCGGGUGGAUACUGCUCAGCUCGAGUCCGGAAGAGGAGAGUGGAAUUCCUGGUGUAGCGGUGAAAUGCGCAGAUAUCAGGAAGAACACCCGUGGCUAAGGCGGCUCUCUAGUACGGUACUGACGCUGAGACGCGAAAGCGUGGGGAGCGAACAGG